GAGAAGUCGAACGAAUGAGAAUGUCUCUGUGGAGCCUUUCAGGAACAGAGACGACCUCUUAUCAGAGCAGUUGAGGCAUGUAUUGGCCCAACGACGCCAGCCUCUUCCAGACAGCACGCCUCCGACCGACCUCAACGUUGUUUACAGCAUUUUGAAACUGCCCCAGGUCGCCCCUCCACAAACCCCCACAAGACGUCAAGAAGGAAACAUCGAGGAAGAUUCUGUCACCUACGCUUCUCUGGUCUUUAAGAAUAAGAUAAAGAACAAGGAGGGAAAGGUGGAAGAAGACUAGGUGUAUGCGAAGAUGUCCAACCCGACGCUAGUUAAAAAGAAUGAACCAGAGAGCCUGCAGGGCUAUGAAAACAUUAGUAAUGCAGCUGCACGUGCACCAACAUCUCCAAAUCUAUUGGACGACCACUCCAGUGAAGGUGAAGUGGAGCUGAACUUUCCACAGGUGAGAUUCACAGCGACGCCCCGACGUCAGACGACCAACAGAGACUCCAGCAGCUCACACCAAGAUGAGAGUUCAUACUCUGACGUCAGGAUUUGACCCGAGAUGUUCUCCUCCUGCUUUUUACAGCUACCUCGGGCCUGAGGAAGUUUAUAUUCACAAUAAGUCAUCACAGAGAGUCUGAAGAGUUCCUGUGUUAAACCGUGUAGCCAUUAUGAGUAUUUUAAAAUGAGUUAGCAAGAAGGCAGAUUUGGAGAUAAAGUAUUUGAAACUGUUAAUUAAAGGUUCUGGGGCAAACAGUGAACAUAGCAAAAUGUGAAGGAUAAACGGUUAAAAUCCUUAUUUUGCAACUUAAAAUGUGAAUAAUAUGAGUGUAAAAUUAUUGUAUUAAUAACUUUUUGUAUAAUCUCAUUAUAUAUAAAUUACUUCAGUUGGACAAGAAAUGCUGAGAAUCACAGCUGAAUGUUUUCUUUGUCCUUUCCAGUGUUGUGAACUUAA